rnacentral:rRNA from 1 species
UUGCUUCUCUUCCCAGCGGCGGACGGGUGAGUAAUGCCUAGGAAUCUGCCUGGUAGUGGGGGAUAACGUUCGGAAACGGACGCUAAUACCGCAUACGUCCUACGGGAGAAAGCAGGGGACCUUCGGGCCCUUGCGCUAUCAGAUGAGCCUAGGUCGGAUUAGCUAGUUGGUGGGGUAAUGGCUCACCAAGGCGACGAUCCGUAACUGGUCUGAGAGGAUGAUCAGUCACACUGGAACUGAGACACGGUCCAGACUCCUACGGGAGGCAGCAGUGGGGAAUAUUGGACAAUGGGCGAAAGCCUGAUCCAGCCAUGCCGCGUGUGUGAAGAAGGUCUUCGGAUUGUAAAGCACUUUAAGUUGGGAGGAAGGGUUGUAGAUUAAUACUCUGCAAUUUUGACGUUACCGACAGAAUAAGCACCGGCUAACUCUGUGCCAGCAGCCGCGGUAAUACAGAGGGUGCAAGCGUUAAUCGGAAUUACUGGGCGUAAAGCGCGCGUAGGUGGUUUGUUAAGUUGGAUGUGAAAUCCCCGGGCUCAACCUGGGAACUGCAUUCAAAACUGACUGACUAGAGUAUGGUAGAGGGUGGUGGAAUUUCCGGUAGCGGGAAAGGUAGAUAUAGGAAGGAACACCAGUGGCGAAGGCGACCACC